CUGGUGCAAUGGGAUCUUGAAGCAUCUCUAAGACAGUGUGCAUCAGAGAGAUGAUUGUUGCAUGACAGGAGGUGGCAAGAAAGGUUUCAUCCUUGUCCAGUACUGCCUAUGAGUAAGACACCAUGGAGAAGCAAGAGCUUCAGGGUUUGUGUGAGAACCCAGCCCUAUAUAGUCAACCAUUACAACACUUUCAUUAUGAUGGACAUAAUACAGAACUAUGUCUCGGUGGCAUAAACAACCAAGGUAGAGGAAUCAUGAAUAAAGUCAGCAACCGGUCUCAGAAAAACUUACCAGCUGCAAGCAGACUCCUUCUGCCUUAAGAAGAUGAUCAAAAGUGACUAAGAGCAAACACCCACGUCUAUCUCCAGCCUCACAGCAAGUCUUGCCAUUUUCUUAACCAAGCCACAGAUAUGAAUACGUCUAAAUCUUCAAAGCACUUUUCAUUGACUGAUUAAUCCUAACUACAUCCCUCAGUGAUGGAAACUAGUAUUACUGUCUCCAUUUAGCUGAUGGCUUAGAUGGCUUUGCUUAAGACGGGAUGGAGAUAGAGAUUUAGGGGGAAGAGGGGGGAUUGAACUUGGCAUUUUACAGAGUUCCUACUUUUCCUUAAAGACAACUUUCAGUAGGUCCCAAAUUGUAAGGGUGUUUAGCUCUCAUUCCCCAAAAUGCUCUUUAAAUCAGGCUUCCUCAACCUCGGCCCUCCAGAUGUUUUUGGCCUACAACUCCCAUGAUCCC